rnacentral:rRNA from 1 species
CGCGUAGGCGGUCUUGUAAGUCAGAUGUGAAAGCUCUCGGCUUAACCGGGAAAGUGCAUUUGAAACUAUGAGACUUGAGUAUGGGAGAGGGAAGUGGAAUUCCUGGUGUAGAGGUGAAAUUCGUAGAUAUCAGGAGGAACACCGGUGGCGAAGGCGACUUCCUGGACCAAUACUGACGCUGAGGCGCGAAGGCGUGGGGAGCAAACA